GUUGGCCUUCCAUCAACACUAAGAAGUCACAGUCAAGAAUCUUUUCUUCUCAUUGUUGGAAUGAUUUACCUAAUGCUCUUCAUUCUAGCGAGAGUUUUAGGAUUUAGAA